GUGCUUACCUGGUAGGGGAGACACCACGAUCGCGAGGGGGGUUUCCAGGGCUGGGCUCAUCCCUUGCGCCCAGAUGUGCUGACCCCUGCAAUUUCCCCAAAUGUAAGAAAUUCAACUGCAUGGUUUGUUGAGGGACUGCUUUGGUGCUCUA
rnacentral:snRNA from 1 species